rnacentral:rRNA from 1 species
GACAGAGGGUGCAAACGUUGCUCGGAAUCACUGGGCGUAAAGGGCGUGUAGGCGGGAAGGAUAGUCAGAUGUGAAAUCCCCAGGCUCAACCUGGGAACUGCAUCCGAUACUGGAUGGCUUGAAUUCGGGAGAGGGAUGCAGAAUUCCAGGUGUAGCGGUGAAAUGCGUAGAUAUCUGGAGGAAUACCGGUGGCGAAGGCGGCAUCCUGGACCGACAUUGACGCUGAUGAGCGAAAGCUAGGGGAGCAAACGGG